UGUCAGAAGAGAAUCGAUUGAGGUUCCUUCACUGGGAUCUAUACAAACAUUCUCGGUGCAAAGCAACAAAUGUUUUGCAACUUUUGGGCAAAGUGGCUGCGUAUGCAUUAAUGCUAGCAGGUUUCUUUUAUUGUCGAGUGACUUCAACCUUGAGACCUGAGGAGUGCAUGGCUUGGUCUUCCUUUGAGAACUUCAAUGAGAUUGACAUGUCACCCUAGAGAUAUCACAACAAUGUUACUGAUGAUGCUUACAAGUUGGAGAGGAAAUGUUAUGGAUAUAGUAAUG